GACGAACGCUGGCGGCGUGCUUAACACAUGCAAGUCGAACGGAAAGGCCCUGCUCUUGUUGGGUGCUCGAGUGGCGAACGGGUGAGUAACACGUGAGUAACCUGCCCUUGACUUUGUGAUAACUCCAGGAAACUGGGGCUCAUACCGGAUAGGAUCUCUUGCUGCAUGUGGUGGGUUGGUGAGUUUCGGCGGUUGGGGAUGGACUCGCGGCUUAUCAGCUGGUUGGUGUGGUAGUGGCUUACCAAGGCUUCGACGGGUAGCCGGCAUGAGAGGGUGACCGGCCACAAUGGGACUAAGGUACGCCGCAGAAUGGAACGGGAGGCAGCAGUGGGGAGUAUUGCAGAAUGGGGGGGAGCGUGAUGCAGCAACGCCGCGUGCGGGAUGAUGGCCUUCGGGUUGUAAACAGAUGUGGACUGUGCCGAAGCGUGAGUGACGGUAAUGGGUAAAGAAGCCCCGGCUAACUACGUG
rnacentral:rRNA from 1 species